rnacentral:lncRNA from 1 species
GUCAUGUCUGACUUUUGCAGUCUCAUGGACCAUGGCAUGCCAGGCCUCCCUGUCCUUCACCAUCUCCCAGAGUCCACCCACGUUCAUAUCCAUUGAGUCGGUGAUGUCAUCUAACCAUUUCAUCCUCUGCCGCCCUCUUGUCCUUUUGCCUUCAAUCUUCCUACUCAGGUCAGAGUACAAAUUCUCCCAUUUACCUGGGAGGGAAGUUGAGAAUAUUUUCCGAGAGGAAGUGGACUGUUGGCCUCCUGAAGGAAGCAUUUGGACUUCUGCGUCUAGCUCUCCCGUGGACCAUAGCAGGAUUGCAAUAACAUACAAGAGGGGAGCUGUCCACAAGAGCCAGGUGCAGGCUUCACAGAAGGAAGCCAUCCUGUUUUUCUGAAGCCAGGCACUUCCUGACGCAAAUGCUCGGAAAAGCUCACUGACUUCAGCUCUGCUCCUGUUGAUUUCCCUACCUACUAGCCCAGUGAUUUGAAGUGAAUGAGGGGAGAAGAGGAAGCAGACUGAUAGGACCUUCUUAUAAGCUGGAUUUGAAUAUAGCUUUUAUUAAUGAGAGGUAAGAGAGUCUUUUCUUUUAGUAACAGGUUUUUUUUUUUUUUUUUAACAAAUCGUUUUUGUAGAAGUCGUUUAAACGUUGAGAUUAUUUGAGAACCAGUGGCAGA